GUAACUUUCUUCGAGGAAAUUGUGUUAUUCAAGAAAUAUAACAUGCAGUUCGUUAAGGAUGUGGAAUCGCGCGUUAAAAUUAUGUGUAAAAUCGCGAAGGAUGGAAAGAUGCGAGUGCAAACAGAUCGUGCAAACGGAAACUAUGUUACGGGUAUCUGAUAAAUGAAAAAAAAUUGGAAAACGCGAGUUUGUAUGCGGAUGUAUUGGUACGAGGACAAGAUCGAAGCCGUCAACGAUGGUGCCGUUAUCGGAAGCGCAUUCCGACGAUUUGGCCUUCGAGCUCACCUCCUCGUACCGACGUUGUUUGGAACGGCCGCAUCGUCGUUCCGCGUCUUCCUGAGGAAAAGCCGUGUAAAAACCAUCGUACAACGCGUAGCAUAUGGAUAUAACACUCGUGUCGCAUGCACUGACAGAAAGUGUUACAAAAUCAUGCCACCGACCGAACGUUUGCGAGACGAGCAACAAAUAAAGAAUGAGGCAACGGAUGAAAAGGAGAAGAGACGAAUAAGAAAUCACCUUUGGCAUAAUAUGGGGAGGUUGGGUUCAAUGGAAUGCCGAUCUAGUAACAGGCGUGGUAUGUGACCGUCACAUACCUAACUUAACCGUGGUUUUGUUUUUCGUGUAAAUUCCUUAUAUCAGGCAGGACCGUAUUAUUUGCAUUUCUCAGCUAACGAUCAAGAAGAUCUUUGAAAAAAUGAAUCAACAUUCCGAGUAAAGGUAUUUUUCUUAACGAAUUAUGAUUAAAAUUUACAUGAUAGGAGAAAUUUGGGAUUUCAAUUAAAUUUACGUAUCAUCCGACAUGAUAUUAAAUCGUAGAUUUUUUAUAUUCGCUAUUUGGUCGAAAAGUAGAACAAACGAGUUAAUUACGCAUCCAACCAGAUCUAUAACUACCAUAUACUGGUUUGAACGCGGCACCCUUUCGCACCACGAAAAAAAAAAAAAAAAAAAAAAGAAUACGAAGUUUUGUACAGUGAGUCACUCGUAGGCGUGCCUUGGAUUAAUCCCAAGCACCUGUAUUCAAGCUAGGUAAGCUUCUAACACGCUACUAGCAACCCCCGAAACCUUCUAAAUCUCGUGUCAGUCAAAGUUUAAUUCCAAUUACAAAGAAAAUGCAUAACAGGAACUGCAAUAAUCACAUCGUUUCAAUGAAAUACGUUUUAUUGAUCGACUUGAACGAUUACAUGUACUGUACAAAAGGGACUUGUACCAUUAAGCUCAAUAGACAUUGGAUAUAACUGUAGUAAAUCAUUUACUAAAAACUAUCAAAAUAGGAUAAUGCUAAAGAUAAAAAAAAAAUAAUUCUUUUCCUCUUUUUCAUUGUUAUUUGGUAUGUUUGAGAACUGCUGUUGUUUCAUACAGAAAAAGGCACGUACACUUCAAAUUUUGCUUGAGUUAACGGAUCGAUGUUCCAAAAGAGUGAGCAUGUUGCACCCCUUCUUUUUUAGGCACUGUUAACAACUCGGUGACUAACGUGAAGCGACAAAUUUAAUAAAGCUAACGGAAUAUAUUACAUCACCUUCAACCCUUGAAAUAUUCGUCACAUACGUGCAUGUGCAUAACUUCGUUAUAUUUGAAACGGCUAUCGGGUUUUAUAAUAGUCUAAAAAUAUUUCCUAAUAUCGAGGUCGAUGGAUAAUACAGUUUCGGAAUAGAAACAUACAAUUAAAUGAACGAGCAACGCGAAACAAUAUAAGUACAACAGAAUAAAUACAAACGGUGCUAAUUGAUUAAGUUUGAUUAUUACCAUCUUUUUAUCUAUACGCGUUUACGUCACUUUUGUUAUGCAAUUUUGUAUAACCACGUAAAAAUAGGACUUACGUAUUGUUAAAUAUUUCGCUAAAGCAACAGAAUUAUACUGCACAUCCUGGCAUUGAAAUCACUCGAUAAAUUCAGUGAUCGCGACGCUGCUACAAUAUCAGUGA